ACGGAAGGCAGCAGUGGGGAAUAUUGGACAAUGGGGGAAACCCUGAUCCAGCGACGCCGCGUGAGUGAAGAAGUAUUUCGGUAUGUAAAGCUCUAUCAGCAAGGAAGAAAAUGACGGUACUUGACUAAGACGCUCCGGCUAAAUACGUGCCAGCAGCCGCGGUAAUACGUAUGGAGCAAGCGUUAUCCGGAUUUACUGGGUGUAAAGGGAGCGUAGACGGCGAAACAAGUCUGAAGUGAAAUCCCGGGGCUCAACCCCGGAACUGCUUUGGAAACUGUUUUGCUAGAGUGCAGGAGAGGUAAGCGGAAUUCCUAGUGUAGCGGUGAAAUGCGUAGAUAUUAGGAGGAACACCAGUGGCGAAGGCGGCUUACUGGACUGUAACUGACGUUGAGGCUCGAAAGCGUGGGGAGCAAACAGGAUUAGAUACCCUGGUA
rnacentral:rRNA from 1 species